UAUAGUCGCCGUCACGUAAAAUUGGCACCAUGUUUUUUGUUAAAAAUUUUUUAAAUAUCAGCCGCGUUUACUCAAGAUUGUGUUUUUCUUUUAGCGGAAGUAAAAUCCUGUCCAAAUAUCCACUACUGUCCUACCUUUUAUUGUGUUUGCACUGUAUAAUCCUGACCUUCACAUUUUUCAAGAUUAUUUACAUUGUAUAACCGCCAUCUUGGUUUCUAUGAGGGUCCCUUAUUCCAUAACAUUCGUUACUCUCCGGUAAUAUCAUUGUCAUUGAUGAUACAAUUUCCCGCGCUUUUUACGUAAAGAUGAUGAAAAGCUCCGAGAGACACAAGAAAAUGGAGAGCACGUGGAACUCCACGGCUACACUUCCGGUAAUAACAAUGUCGGAUUCCACCAUACAAAUUAAUCUUGGAUUAUGUGAAGGUCAGGAUUAUACAGUGCAAACACAAUAAAAGGUAGGACAGUAGUUGAUUUUUGGAAUGAUAUUUGAUUCCGCUAAUUGAAAAACAUGAUCUUUAGUAAACACGGUCGAUAUUUAAGAAAAUUUUGACAAAAAACAUGGUGCCAAUUUUACGUGACGGCGACUAUAAGU
rnacentral:lncRNA from 1 species